CCUACGGGAGGCAGCAGUGAGGAAUAUUGGUCAAUGGGCGGAAGCCUGAACCAGCCAAGUAGCGUGCAGGAUGACGGCCCUACGGGUUGUAAACUGCUUUUAUACGGGAAUAACGCGCCUUACGUGUAGGGCGUUGCAUGUACCGUAUGAAUAAGGACCGGCUAAUUCCGUGCCAGCAGCCGCGGUAAUACGGAAGGUCCGGGCGUUAUCCGGAUUUAUUGGGUUUAAAGGGAGCGUAGGCCGCAUGUCAAGCGUGCUGUGAAAUGUCCGGGCUCAACCCGGGCCUUGCAGCGCGAACUGGCGUGCUUGAGUCCGCGGAAAGCAGGCGGAAUUCGUCGUGUAGCGGUGACAUGCUUAGAUAUGACGAAGAACCCCGAGUGCGAAGGCAGCUUGCUGCAGCGGAACUGACGCUGAUGCUCGAAAGCGCGGGUAUCGAACAGGAUUAGAUACCCCAGUAGUC
rnacentral:rRNA from 1 species